AUGCAUUUGCUAACAAGCAGGGGAUUAGAAAAGCUCUGGAAAACACAAGCACGUCUAGCAAAAUAUCCUGGUGAUCUUAUGUGUUCCAUCACAGUGGAUGUGAACAUGCUGGUUGUGAAAUCCCUGAUCGGGAGCUCCAAACAAAGAGAAACAGCAGUCAGAAAUGGAGAUAGCAGUAAAGGAGUUCCUAUGAGGUUUCCUGUCUUCUCUACAGCAUCACGUGAUCUUCUAUGCUGAGUCUUACGUGAAUUCUUGCAACUGGUGUAUGGAAACUGAUACUGACAAUUGGUGUGGUCCUGGAGAUGUUUGGCCCAUAGCUGCAGUGAGAAUAACCCAUGGAGAAGGUUGAAUGAUAAGGUUGAAAUGCGGUUUAAGUAUCAUUGAAUUUUGACUACAAACAGACUUUCAAGUGCAGAAAUAAAUCCAGACAUCUUCUGGUGUCUUGCGUUAUG
rnacentral:lncRNA from 1 species